rnacentral:lncRNA from 1 species
AUAAAAACUUUGGUUUGUGAUGGAUUUACCUCUAAAGACCAUAGCAUUUAGACAACAUUGGAAUAAACCAUCAAGUCUUUUUAUAUAUAUAAUUUGAAUAAUUAAUAUGAAUUAGAUAGGCAACAUUAAAAACCAUAACAUGAUUUACGAACUAUUCAUGUAUACAUACAGGAAGUUAAACCGAGCCAUGAAAUUAAAAAAUAAUUUUAAGGUAGCCUAUCGAAUGAUCCCAUUGACACCCCAACAAUGUCUAAAGACAGCAUCGACAGGAGGGCGGCAAUAAAGACACAAAUCGUAAGAAAUAAAGAUCACAAACGUUUUAGCAGGCUAUACUGACCCAAAAC